UCUUCCUGCCUGGAUAUGGAGCUGGAGGCCAUUAGGCUAGUCUUAUGGUCAUUAGGUAAUAAACUUCAGGGUGAAUAUUAAAGCACUGAUUGUUUCCUUCAACAGAUAUUUACCGAAUACCUACUAUGGUGCCAGGCACUAUUAUAGAUGCUUCAAAAAGUGGCAGAGCAGAAGGACAAAAAGAGGCUGGAUCCCAUAUGUCACCAUUAAACACUGAAACAGCUUUAACUGCCUUCCUCUAUGCUUCGACUUCAUCAGUGCUGAGAUGUGGCCUAAAACCUAAAUAACCUGUGGGUCGUCUCUGCACAACACGCCCGAAAGAUGAUGGUCAACCCACUGAGCCAUACCAGCCAGGGUGCUCUUGAGAUUUUGACUGCAUUGAAUUUACAAGCUAACUUGGAGAAAAUUACCACUUUAAUGAUA